rnacentral:piRNA from 1 species
UCUGACUUUCGCCUGCCUGGA